rnacentral:lncRNA from 1 species
AUGAUUAAUAACAUGGGGAAUGGAUUUGGAUCUGGCAAUGGAUUGAUCCCAGAGCAGGAGGCCAGAUGCCCUAGAGAGGAAGUUACUACUGGAAGCUCUUCACCCAGAUCUAGGAAUUACCUAUGGGUUGUGAUACCGUCAAGUAAUGCCCUUGAGAAAGUGUCUUCCUCACUUCCUGAUAUCAACUCAGCUCUGGAAGCUCUCCAUGAGCAAGGCCUGAAAGCGAGCGUGGAGGGAGGCGACCGUGGGGCUGAUGGUGGUGUUGGAUGUGACUCACCACCUCGCUGCCCUCCCAGGCGCCCCCCGUGCUACUGCAAGUUCCACGGAUGGCCAGAAGGCAGCCUCCCAGCUCCCUUGGAAGGAAGGCAGAGAGAAAGCGUCAUCGGCUUCUCGGAGUUUGGCUUCGCGGGACUUCAACCCAACUCUGCUUGUCCAAGGAAGCAAAGAGCAGACAAGGCUCAUCUAGACCCCUCAAGAGAGAGCUAA